rnacentral:lncRNA from 1 species
CCUUUUAUUAUCACUCCCUACAUUGUUGUUCAAUAAAAGAAGAGGGCAAUUGCAUAACUCAUUCUAAAUUCAUUUAUUAACUCAUUUUUAUCCAUAUAUAGUAUUUCAACCUCAUCAAUCGAUCAUACAAAUGAUACUCUUACAUUUGAUGAGAUGUAAAGAGAAAUAUUUAAAAGCACUUUGAGUUCAAAGAAACUAUUAAUUAACAAUAGUAUCCGCAAACACAAAUAGGAGUAGGAUCCACAGAACUCUGCAUACAGGCACCAGCAAUUAAUUUAUCUUAAUAUUUCUCUAUGCAUGUCGGUAUACAGUCAUCGUUCACCUUGCAUUGUAAACUGUGAAUUGAAUCAGAACAUUGCAACGCACUAAUUACUUGGUAAGCUUGGGCAAUUGACGAGUUGAAUACUACAACAACAAAGAGGAACAAUAUAUUAUCAAAUAAUCCACUAUUAAAUAAACGAAUUUAGUAAGAAAAGAACCUUAAUUUCAAGAAGAAAGAGAGCUUAGAUUAGACAUAGAAGAAAAAAAAUAUGGUCAUAGUUCCUUAAAACGUCAAAAUGAUUUUGGAGAAGAUUACGCAGAAUCAUACACAAAAAUUAGAAUAGAAUAAAUUUUUAGUUGCUGCAAUGAUCAAAAGAAUAAUUAAAAGAUUUGUUCUCUAUCUUGGAUCAUGUUUAUAAGUUUCGGCGGAUUUUCUGGUAAAAAUGACACAAGGCAGCGAAUUUAAAGUGUUUUGAAUUUCAGUUUUUCGGUUCAAUUUUUCGGGACACAAAUGUCCUGAAAUUUUCAUGAUAAAAUAAAUAUUGGUUAAUCCCUAAAUAGCAAUAUAAUGGUUUUUUGUGUACUUCCCCUGAUUUUCAAAAACCGUAAUCUUUCCGUCAUGUAGUCUAUAUAUAAUUCAUGUGGGGUAAAUUAACUCGUACUGAAAUAAUAUCCACGGUAUACGACUGUAAUAAAUACGAAAUACAAAAAUACAGUAACCAACGACAAUAAUAAGAGAAACAAGAAUACCAGAUUUUUACGUGGAAAACCCUUCUGAAUAAGGGAAAAACCACGGCCUGAGAGGAGCAACUGAUUUCACUAUAACAAAAAUUUUAUAAUUUGUGGUACCGAGUAAAAUACUCCAAGACCACUAAACACUCAAAAGAAAUAACCCUCUUUUGAUUUUUCUAUCUCACUACACUACCGCUCAAACUCUCUAUAUUUUUCCUCACAGGGUAUUUUGCUUCUUACUCUGUAAAUCACUCUCUUUCUC